UGAGGAAUUUUGCGCAAUGGGAGCAAUCCUGACGCAGCAACGCCGCGUGGGUGAUGAAGGCCUUCGGGUCGUAAAGCCCUGUCAGGUGGGAAGAAUGUCCCGGGACUGAACAGGUUACGGGAGUGACGGUACCACCAGAGGAAGCACCGGCUAACUCCGUGCCAGCAGCCGCGGUAAUACGGAGGGUGCAAGCGUUAUUCGGAAUUACUGGGCGUAAAGCGCGGGUAGGCGGUCAUGCAAGUCUGAUGUGAAAGCCCCGUGCUUAACCCGGGAAGUGCAUUGGAAACUGUGGGACUUGAGUACUGGAGAGGAUGGUGGAAUUCCCGGUGUAGAGGUGAAAUUCGUAGAGAUCGGGAGGAAUAUCAGUGGCGAAGGCGCCCAUCUGGACGGUAACUGACGCUGAGACGCGAAAGCGUGGGGAGCAAACA
rnacentral:rRNA from 1 species